AUUGAACGCUGGCGGCAUGCUUUACACAUGCAAGUCGAACGGCAGCACGGGUGCUUGCACCUGGUGGCGAGUGGCGGACGGGUGAGUAAUACAUCGGAACGUGUCCAGAAGAGGGGGAUAACGCAUCGAAAGAUGUGCUAAUACCGCAUAUGCUCUGAGGAGGAAAGUAGGGGAUCGAAAGACCUUACGCUUUUGGAGCGGCCGAUGUCUGAUUAGCUAGUUGGUGGGGUAAGGGCCUACCAAGGCGACGAUCAGUAGUUGGUCUGAGAGGACGACCAGUCACACUGGGACUGAGACACGGCCCAGACUCCUACGGGAGGCAGCAGUGGGGAAUUUUGGACAAUGGCGCAAGCCUGAUCCAGCAAUGCCGCGUGA
rnacentral:rRNA from 1 species